UACGGAGGGGGCAAGCGUUGUUCGGAAUCAUUGGGCGUAAAGAGUAUGUAGGCGGCUAUUUAAGUCAGACGUGUAAGCCCACGGCUCAACCGUGGAAUUGCGCUUGAAACUAUUUAGCUUGAGUGCAGGAGAGGAAGGCGGAAUUCCCAGUGUAGCGGUGAAAUGCAUUGAUAUUGGGAAGAACACCGGUGGCGAAGGCGGCCUUCUGGCCCGAUAUUGACGCUCAUGUACGAAAGCGUGGGUAGCAAACAGG
rnacentral:rRNA from 1 species